UUUUAUUGCCCGUCUGUUGCACUGUAAAUUCCACUCUGCUGCAGUCUCCAGACCGCGGCCGGUUCGUUAGUCUUGUCAUUACUUUCGGGCUGUGGUGUUUGGUGUUUUUGUAGUUUUUUUUCUCGCUUCACACGACUUUUAUUAGAUUGGUGAAUUCGACUCGCAGUAUUUAUAUAUUGUUAUAUUUUUAAAAUUAAUUAACACAUAAAUGUCGAGAAGUUGAUAAAAAAAAAAAACCAACAUUGUAUCAAGUGCAGUGUGCGGGCGAGUGUCGGUUUUGCUGAAAAUCCGACUUCAAAUAUUUCAAAGAAGUAUUACUAAAAACGUCAGUUCCGUCACCGUUGCAUAUGGCGGGCGUCAAUAACGUAAGUACAUAUGAUAAUGCACCAGAAAAUUCCAAUAACACAGUUGAGCAAACUAACAAGACUGAUGAUUCUGACGACAAAGAUGAUUCGUUGCAGAACGUCAUCGACAAUGAACUGUCCAAACGUUUUAACGAGAGUGAAACUCCUGCCAAUCGUGUUAAAUACAGUGUAGACAUAAUGCUAACUGCAGAAUCAAUUCAUAGUGACAGUGUUAGACAGUCCAAUGACGUAGAAUACGUAGACCUCAAGUCCUUAAAAUCGAACGAAUACCAAGUCCAAAAAGACACGAGCGAGCUUUUUCUGUUGACAGAAAAACAACAUACAGAAGAGUCUAGUGACACUGGUCUCGGAUCUGAAAUCGUUUUAAUACCGGAACAAGUUAUUAAUAAUGAUGGUCCAUUAUCUGAUACUAUGAGUAGUGGAUUCGAAGAAGACGGUAUAACGAGGGAGCUUGUGGACCAGGAUCCUUCACGUGCAGAAUUAGAAGAACCUCGUAUUUUUUCUAGACCCUUACCGGUUGACGAGGCAGAUAAUGUAACUGAAUUAGUAUUUGAUACUUGGACCACGGUUGAUGAGAUUGUGGGAUCAGAAAUUAAAAAAACUGAAUUAAACGGUUAUGAAGAAAAGUCGGCCAUUGACAUCAGUACUGCUAGCCUUAACCAAGAGUGUUUUGAUAUUAAUACACCAGCCAUAACUAACAGUGUUACCGAGGUAGUUUCGGAAACGACGACUGAACGCAGAACAGUAAAGAAAAAGUCGUCUGCAGCCGGUGGUGAGGCGUCUACCACGGUUGUCAAGACCAAAAAGACCAAGAAGUCGAAAAAAUCUGACGAAAAAGAAAAUAUAUCUGUUAAUUUAAAUGGCCAUUUGACAAAUGAAAUGAGAAAUGGUCAAUACGACGACUAUAUUGUCGAGGAAGAUGACUUAUCUAACGUAUGCGUUCGAGACCUCAAAAAAUCCUACUGCGAUGAAGCUAAUCGAAAGUCUUCCUCCGUUAUUAUACCAGAAGAGCCUGUACCUGCUUCUGUUCCCAUAGAUGAAUUGAAGCGAAAUUUUGUUGGUGCCAUCGAGAAACAACCAUCCGGAUGUGAAAACGGAAUGAUAAACGGUUGUUCGAAAUCAAGUUUUGGGAAAUUUGAUCAACUGGAAAAAAAAAUUAUCCUUCAACAAAGAUCUCCUACAGAAUCUGAAAAAAUCGAUACUAAACAAAAUGGUGUUAUACGUCCAGAAGUUAAUUCUGUAUGUAAGUCAUGUGAGAAGACUGUGUAUGCCAUGGAACAAAUAAAAGCGGAACGUCAAGUUUGGCACAAGAACUGUUUUCGGUGCACAACAUGCAAUAAACAGUUAACACUUGAUAUUUAUAGUAGCCAUGAAGGUAUAUUGUACUGUAAACCACAUUUCAAGGAGUUAUUUAAGCCUAAAGUAGUAGUUGAGGACGAAGAACCAAUUAGACGCAAGAAACCAGAAAUGAUAAUACGUGAAAAUCAGCCCUUGGAAUUACCACCUGACGUGGUUAGAGCCAGUGAUAAACCGGAUUUGGGUUUAGAAGAAUUGAGCUCUUUAAAUGUGAAAUCUCGUUUUCAAGCUUUUGAAAACGCCACCACCAAUGGUAAUAGCCACAUGGAAAAAUCUCCAGUCAGUGUUAAACGUUCACCAAGUAUAUUGAGUAAAUUAGCUAAAUUUCAGUCUAAAGGAAUGGAUGUAGGAGUUGCCAAUGAUGAUUUGAACGGUGCAUUCUUUGAGCCCUCAUCAAGCAGUGAUACUGAAGAUGAAGAUACCGGGAAUGAUAUGUUAAAAAAUAGUAUUUCUAAAGAAAAACCAAUGAGUUUUGACAAAAUGGAGUCUGUUAAACGUAACUGGGAAAUGCGCCGAGAAGAAAUGAAAGAGGAACAUAAACAAGAAAUACAAAACAUAAGGUCUAAAUUAUUUGCGGGAAAACAAGGAAAAAUGAAACAAAUGUAUGAACAGGCUGUGGCUGAAAGUGAACGUACUGGUGUUAAACGAGAUAUAAAUAUAAACAAAUCUGACAAAGCCAAAGUAAUCAAAGAGAAAUUUGAAAGAGGCGAAAUAGUAAACACUGAAACUGAUGAUAUAGAUGAAAACAAUAUUAGUGUAUCAGUAAAUGACGAUGAAGAUGAAAUGAGUGUUUUUGAAGCUGGAAUCUCUAAGAAAUCAAGAAGUCUGUUCAUGGAAUUGGAUGCUAAUGCUGUAAAGACUAAACAAGCUGCACCAACUGUGAAUACUAAAAAAGAAUAUAUUCCUAUAAAACAGGUUACACCAAUAUACAGUCGUCAAGUGUCUGAUGAUGUGGUCAAAUGCAGUGACCGCAUCGAGGACGUUUCUGUGGAAACAGCUGAAGUUUCUUCAAAGUUUAAGUUCUUUGAAACAUACAAGCCUCCUGCAGUCGUUAAGAAACAAUUCAGAAUUACACCCCCACGAGAAGGCCAAAUUAAGGGAGAAUCUCCAGAACGUGAUAUUUACCGCGAUCCAAAUGUGGUUCGCAAUGAAGACCCAGUUGAUGAGACGGCGGAACUAGUCAAAAGUAAUACGACCGCUAAGAUGUUAUCCUUGUUUAGACAAAUGGAGGUUGCCAGACCAGCUGUACCUGAAGGUCUUAAACCACUUAAACGCUUUACUCCUCCACCGCAAGACCUUAAGGAAUCAGAGACAGAAUCAGAAUCUGAUGAUGAUGUGAGUGGGGAAGAUGAUAGCGAUGAAGAUUCUUCAAGUAGUGAAACCAAUGGUGAUGUUGUGAAAUCAUCUCUAAAAGUUGAAGACGAAUUUUUGAAAAAUUCUCAAAGCGCAGUAAUGGCCAAAUCAUUGAAAGACAAAUUUGAACACUGGGAACCAGACAAGCAUUCUAUGAAUAAUGCUGUUACAAUGCUUGAUUCUGAACAGGAAAGCAUUGAAUCGACUAAAUCUUUGCGUGCUCGUUUUGAAUCUCUGAAAGGUGAUCGUCCAGCUGAUAAGCCAAAACCAAAAGUUAACAGAUUCGUGGCCAAUGAUAAUAUGUCGACAGUCGGACGAAAAAAAGACAUUUAUUGGGACUUUUUUUACUAACGUCUGACAUGGUGACAUAGAAACAAAAAUUAUUAUUCUUAAUCGAUACAUUUUAUUAGGUAAAUGACACGAGAGUUUCUGGAUUAUUGGAAGUCCAGUUUAUGUGGUAAACGUUUGUUAGUUCAAUUUAUGUGUAAUUCAUUAACCUUAAACAAAGAGUAAUAACUGAAGCUCCGUACACCCCAUGGACUUCGUUAGUGUACAUACAAAUUUAAAUUAAAAAAACUUAAUUGAAACUAUACAUAAUAAACAUGCGUAUAUUAUCUAACAUAAAUAUAAUUUGUUUGGAUUUCAUUUUAUACUUUUCUUCUAAAAAAAAAUAACGCAGGCACAUAAUCAAAAAUAUUGUAUUAUCGAUUCGAAAAUAAAAAUUACUUAGCGAAAAAGAUUCACGCGAUGCUCUUAUUUAAUUUUAUAUUGAUUUUUACUGUUUUGCAGUGAUCUCGAAUCAACUUUUAAAAUGAUAUUCAGUAUCACAUUUUUGUUAUGUUUAAAAUUAAAAGUUUAUUCUAACGUUGGAUUAUGAACCUAUUUAAAGUCUAGUGCGUAAAAUUGAAUGUUUUUUUUUUAUGUAUAAAUCUUUAUUUUCAAGCAUCUUUUUAGUUUUAUAUAAAUUACGUUAUUGCUUGCCAAUAUUUUAUAGUUAAGUGGAACAGAAACAGUAACGAUUUUUCCCGUUUUAAGUAUUAGAACGAACGAAAAAAAAUGAGUGAUAAAUCACUAAUAUUGUUGCGAAAUUAUUGAAUUUUAAAUUUUAGAAGGAGAACAUAAUUUAUUAUUGACGUUAUACUUGUGAGUUUUUUUUUAGUUUUAAACCCAUACACAUAAUAUAUUAUGAACAUAAUAUUAUUAUUUUUAAAUGUAAUACUAUAUAUAAUGUUAUAAUACCAAUUAUGAUUGUGAUUUGAAUUAUACACCUAUUAAUAAACAUUUUAUCAAUAUACGCUGUCUUCGUGUAGUUUGUACAAUAUAUAAUUAUGGUAUUUUC